rnacentral:lncRNA from 1 species
GAAAACCCAAGGCUCCCCUCUCCGAGUUCUCAGCCUCAGCCUAGAGGGUUGAUGUCAUAUUCACGAGGCAGCUUCCGGCUCUCCCAUCAGGAAAGACUUACUGUCCCAGGUCACUGCAGUAGCUUUUUGGGUCAUGGAAGGACUGCAUGAAGAGUCAAAUUAAUCAGCGAAUGGAAGAUUGAGAAAUAUGAACUCAAUGAUAGCUUAAGUAAGUGGAUUCCAAAUUGCUUGUAUGGCCAGAUGCAAUGAAUUAUCAUUAAACACACACCAAGCUUCAAGAUUCUGCAAGGACACUGACCCUCAAACCCCAGAAACCCCUAUCACCUAAGGGAUGUUCCAUGAAGACUUCAUAAGGGGAAAAAAGGACUUCCAUUAAUCAGGAGCUGAAAUUUGGAAUUGAGAAAGCUCAUCAUGCUGCAAAAUUAAAUCAUCCUCCAUUAGCAUUUCUUAUUAGUACCCCUCUGAUUGGAUCCUCUGGCUGGAGGGCUAGCCAAUGGGCUCCAGGGAUUUAGCAAUUUUCCCCAUAUUUAUCAUCAACUAUACUGUUUUCUUUGGACAUCUCCAUCAUGGCCCCAUGCCAGGUUGCUAAUGAGUUGUAGUCGUAAUUCAUAUGUCAGCUACACCUUCGCCGCAGCAGUGUACCACUCUGAUGGAAGCCAGUGGGCGUAAAUGGAAACACACAGAGGCACUUUGAUGAACUGAAAAAGAAAUUACAAAUGACUCGACUCCAGAAUGGGCUGCCAGGUUGGAGUUUCACCAGAAGAAAAAUU